UAGACUUUUACAGUGGAUUUCACUCAUCGCACAAAGUAGAGGCAAAUUUGACUUUGUCCUUAUGGGAUUACUGGAUUAAAGGAGAACUAUCACGCUGAAGUACCUAGAAGUCUAUAAUAAGCAGGUUUAUGCUACCCAAAUCAUGGCUGGCAUUAAGUCCCAACAGGCUCCCUCCUCACAAUAACAAAGUUUUACUUAGAAAAAACAGACGCUCCCCCUCCAUCUGUCCCAGAUUCAUUGGAAGGUUCCUCCACUUUCCGUAUGAGAAGAAAGCUGUCAAUCUAACCAAGAUAUGUGUGUGUGCUACAGCUCCACAGGAUUUCUUCUUUCCUUGCUUCCUGGUGAGGUGUGUGGUCUAAACCUUCUAAUAUGGCCAGAAGACGAGAACAAAGACCUAUGUAUGAAAGAGCAGGAUGGAGAAUGACUAGUAGCACCAAAUAUUCUACUUGCCAUAAUAGCCAAACAUUUCUGGCGAAUCCCUGUGUCAUUUCCCCUGUGCAUGACUUCCUGCCCAGCUUUUGAUCACUCUCGUGAAGCCAAUUUAUACCUCAGCAGCUUCUAAUGUGUUUCCUGAGACUCAUUUCCUUUGUAGGAAAUAGAUUCUUUUGGAAAUAGACUGUGGGUUAUGAUGGAAAUUGUAGCUGUGGGUGUAGUGUUUUUAAGUGAUAGGAAUACCAUUGAAGGUCAUUUUAUUAGUAAUAAGAUGGAAUACCCAAUGUAUCCCUGGAUAGCUAUCUAGGCUUUGCAGUAAUUAUCUGCAUGUGCAGAGAUAUCAGUAUUGUAAGAGCCAAACUGUGUUAUGAUCACUAAAGGGAAUAACUUUAUGCAAUGAACAAAGCAGACCUUAAAAGUGUAAAUCCUUACAUCUGACUUUUCAAAAAUCAUUUCCACAUGCAAAUCAAAUUUUAAGAAUGUCUAUUGAAAAUAGGUCGGAAUGCAUUUUAGUUCUUAACUCUCUUAUGUAAUAUGUAUCCUAUAAUGUAUUAUAGCACUUUGGAUGAUCUCAUAGUGGGUAUAAAUGUGCACAGGCUUACAGCAUUAUUAAUGCUACAUUAAACUGCAUGCAAUUAUUGGCUGCAAUUACCUCAAAGAAAUAAAAAAAAACAUUUGCCCAAACAGUUGCCCAAAAUGUUAGCAUUGUAAAGCUGGCCAUACAUAUUAGUUGAAUGCCAGCAGAACCUGCUGAUUUUAGUAAGAUCGGACAAUCAUUUACUGUACAUGGGGGCCUCCCCAUUAUCCUCUGAUAGCAGAUGUUGGGGAGGAGAAGCAGGGGCGUACCUGAAUGCCCAUGGACCCUGGUGCAAAUGUCCACUUGUUUAGCCUCUAUUGGUAGCUGUUGCUUCACAAACUAAAAAGUUGACGCAACAGAUCAUACAGGGACUACAGCACUCAUUAGACACAGUCUGAGGCAAAAUAAACAUUUACAU